rnacentral:rRNA from 1 species
UACGUAGGGUGCGAGCGUUAAUCGGAAUUACUGGGCGUAAAGCGUGCGCAGGCGGUUCUGCAAGACAGGUGUGAAAUCCCCGGGCUUAACCUGGGAAUGGCGCUUGUGACUGCGGGGCUGGAGUGCGGCAGAGGGGGGUGGAAUUCCACGUGUAGCAGUGAAAUGCGUAGAGAUGUGGAGGAACACCGAUGGCGAAGGCAGCCCCCUGGGCCGACACUGACGCUCAGGCACGAAAGCGUGGGGAG